CCACCCGUUUCCUCUGCACCCCACCCGUGGGCUGGAUUCACCUGUCCCAGGUCCGGCCUUGGCUUCUGGCCACACCACAACUCCACCAGCCACAAUGGAGCUAAAGCUCUGACCUGCAUCUUCACUAGGAGCAGGUUGAGCUGAGCCACAUUAGAUCCACCUGACCUUAACCCCAGCCCGUGUCUUAGUCCAGGCAAAGGGCCCGUGUCCUCCUCAGCGCCUGGCCCAGCUCGGUCAGGUGCUCAAUUGAGCGAGAGGGACAUAAAAAUCUGCUAGGCAGCUUUGACAUGCUCAGAUCCCAGCUGUAGAGCAGGGAAAACAUUCCCCACCGUGCACCACACGCCACAGCCGCCCGCCCGCCCUUCAGCUGAGGGGACGAAAGGCUUUCACCAACAUUCAUUAAUGCAGCUUCACGCCCCUUGGCAGGAGAGGUAGCAGGUAGUAAUUAACUCGCUAGUAUUCAUCACCAUGCAAUUUUGACAGGUUUCCACGCCCCUUUUAGGGCUCAUGUCCCGCCUUCCCAUCCUGUUUCUAUUAGCACCAGAAAGUGGUGCCAUCAGCCAUUUUGAAAAAGAUGUGUGUGUGUGUGUUUGACUAGGGGAAGUGUUGUGUUUGUUUGUGCUUGGGUACAUGGAGAGAAAAAGGUUGAAAGAAGAGUGUGAGAGAGUGUGAAGAGGAAAAAAGAAAGUGAGUGAGGUUUAGUGGAAAAAAAGGAAAUUUGAAAGAAGAGAGCCGGGAGCCGCAACUACUGCCAUAAAGACCACUGUGUUCCAGAAACAACGUCAACCCAAUGCUUCCGAAGUGACCUACUCAGGGUGCCUCUUGCCCCCAUCCGGCCAGGAGGGGAGGUCGUUGGUACGGUUUGCAUCCAGACUGCGGGGCAGACCCAGCAGUAGCUGACCACAUCCCCGUUCCUGUAGCAUCGCUGGGUCCUUUGUUAAGGGCAGACGGCAGCAGCGGAAAAGGAGCUUUACAUCUUGUGCCACAAGAAUCUCAUUCAAGCAGGAGGACCACGGAAGGCAGAAGGCAAACGCUGAGCCCCCUCUGAACUCUCCCUGGCGCUCUGAAGCAAAGCAGUCACGCUGAAGGCAACUAUUCUCCAGUCUUCGCUAGGGGCCCAAUCCUGGGACGUGCUGAGGUCACUUAACGGCACUCGGGACCCUUCCAGGAUCAGGCCCCAUAAUUCCAUAUGCCAGGCUAUUAUUAUCACGUCGCAUUUAUACUGCACUGGUGCCUAGACGCCAGCCAGGCCUGGGGCCAGCUGUGCUGGGGACUCCAGCAGACAGAGCUCGUGUCUUCCUGUAUGCAAACCACACAUGCCAUGUGCUGAAAUCAGAGCACGGGGAAAAGCUAACCUUAGCGUGGUAUCAACGCACCACGCCAGCUGUCAGAGACACGGUGUCUGGUGCCCCUUUGUGACACGCUGCAGGCACAGAAGGGUCUGUGGGACUGUGAAGAACAGAGGAGACAUGGGGAUUUUUUUCAGGAAUUGUCUCUCUGAUUGCAAUCGUGCCGCCUGCCCCAUGGCUGCAAAGGGUUAACUCAGUCCUCGGUGGCUUUGUUCUGCAGGAACUGGCGUCAGGGCUCUAGACAGCCCCAGCCCCAGUGCGUAACACACAGGACAGGGGCCAAGGCCUGGGACGUGUGGGCUCCAUCCAAACUGGACACCACGUGCUGGUGGCUUGUGGCAAGAAGUGGGGCAGUGGGUGGAUGCAGCCCAAAGGGCCUGGCUGGUUUUAGAGACGCUCCCUGCAGCUCCCAGAGAAGCAGGGUCUGCAGAGAAAGAGCCUGUCAGCUGCCCCAGAAGAGCAGGGGGACCAGGGCGCAGUCGGGCCUAGCUAAUUCUGGAGAGAAAUUCUAAACGUAGAUCAGACAGUGUGUGUGCUGGGAAUGGGGGAGGGGAGGGGGAGACCUUUUCUACUUGAACCCCUUUGCCAUGGGUGGCAAGUUCAUAGAAAUUUUGGUGGUGCCCAGAACCCGCCCCCCAACUCUGACCCCCCCCAAACCCCACCCCCACCUGCCUAAGG